rnacentral:lncRNA from 1 species
UGAGUGCAACGUGGCCUAAAUGCCAUUCCCAGCCCCCCCUCCCCCUUCUUUUUUUUAAACAUCUGCUUGUAUGAGGAUGUUGUUGUGUACAUUAGCGCUGUGCAGUUUAGCACCUUUAGGACUACCUUUGGCUCUCAGCUUCCUUGCUUCCUGGGCCAACCAUAAUAUAUCAGGAACCGUGGAUAUUUCCUAUCUCAGCACUCUCCAUAACUCUUUUGCUCAGCUGUCUGAAGCUGUUUUCUUUAGGAAGUCCAAAGUGAGGGGGCCUGCUUGACCUGGCAUCGGUCCUAUUUAUAAGAAUAAACCUUCUUCCCCGUACACCUUUGGAGAUUUGUCGUGUAGGGGUCACAUCCGUUUAAAUGAACAGCAAUUGCGCCUGUGACGGAACACGGCCACGUAACCUUUAUUGUCCCGUCCUACCCUUUUGUUUGAAGUUAUUAAACGUACUCAGCUGAUUUUCUUCAAAGCUAAGGCUACAGGAUCUGCAGCCGUGUCUCUGCCACAUAAUUAAUUAGGAAGGAAAAAAACAGCUAUUGUGCACGCUGUAUUUUUGCAAGAUGUUUGUUUGUUUCCUUAAAGCCAGCAUUUGCUUUUUUGCUUUUAAAUUGUUGCUCUCCUGCUCUCACCACUGAAAUAAAUGCCAGUCGGGCUCAUUUGCUUAGCACAGGAGUUCCCGUGUGGCAGAGGGAAGGGGCAAUGCACGGAGCACUCAUCUCAUUUCCAGCCCACAGUCUGAGGCUUUGGCUCAGAAGCAGUGCCACCUCCACCUCCAUGGCACUGAGAUGUCACACUUCGGAUCUGCCCACUCACAAGUCAGCCCGGGUGCCUGUGCGGCGUAUUUAUUUUCUCCUUGUUUAUUUUUAAGUCUAAGAAUAUUUGCUGAAAGCAGGAUUAUCACUUUGUAGACCACCAGCAGCUGUUGAAAAGCAGGGCAUAAAAGUUUGUUUAUGUCUUUAAUAACCCUCUUAAUGACGGAGCAAGCACAUUAUUCACAAUAAAAUAGCCUGGCAUAAUCUUGCUUCAGUGUGCGGUGGGAGGGAAUUAAGAAACAUCUGCUCUGCCAUAAAAUAACAUAAUAUAUACCAUUUACAUUAGAAACAUGUGUCUACACAUAUGUAUAUUAUAUACAUAUAUUUAGAACGUCUCAGUGGAACUCGUCUUUUUAAUUACAUUUGGAGAACAACAAAAUGGUUAAAUGAUGAUAUUUUUACUUCUGCAUCUCAGCUUUAUGCAGUGUCUGUGGGUACGGCUGGUUACAGUGACAAGGGACAGAGCAUCAGAGUACACCUGAAGAUAUACGAGGGCAGAUUUUCAAGCACUGAAAUUGGGGUUCAGUUUCUGUUUUUAGCCUCCAAAUGACUGACCUGAUUUUCUGAAGUACAAAGCGUUCAUGGGCUCUUGACUUUAUGAGCAUUGGUUGCUCAGCAACUCUAACAAAUCAAGCCACUAUUUCAGUGCCUAAAUGCAGAUUUUAUUUACAACAACAGCAUCUGAAUCCACAGCUUUCCUCAGUGUGAAUUAUUUGUAUUACUCCUGUGCUGAGCACGAGAGCUCACCGUGCUGGUGCUGCACUCAGCAGGAGGGUGGCUGCCUCUGCCCUGACAAACCUGGGGCAAAAAGGGACAAAAUCGGGAUCCUGAAGCCAGCAGGGCAGCGCUCCGCCCUGGCAGUGGCCGUGCCUUGUGGCUGCCAACCAGCACAGCAUGUAAACAUGUCUUUAAAUUUCGGCGUGUGAGAUGUAAGUGGAACUACUUGCAUCUUAAAAUUAAAUACAUGUUUCACUAGAUCAGGCCAGAUGGUUUUACAUGCUCAAAAGUGACAUUUACAAGGUCACAUAGGAAGUGUUUGACAGAGCCAGGAACUGAAACCAGAUCUCCCAAGUGCCAACCCAGUGCCUUAAUUUUGCUCACAUCCAUUUUUCCUUCCCGCUGGCAUGUUUCUCAGUGCAAACAAGGAAAAAAUGAAUCCAGUAAGUAGACAAUUAAGUUGUUGUUUUUAUUUAGAGGCGCUGGGAACGCAAAUGCCACUGUUUGAAAGAUCAGUACUUUCAUUUUUUCAGUGAGGCAUAUGUUUUCAUGGACUUUUUUUUUUUUAAUUUUGCCUGUUCUAUCUUACAAGAAUGCAAGAGAUCUGUUUUCAUUUUGUAGGUGGCCCACCAAAUAGAAGCUAUAAGUUAAUAAAAUUUCUAUGCAGAUUUAUGUGAACUGGAUGAACUCUCCCAGUAUCUGAAUGUUAAUCUGUUGGAAAAUAGCUGCCGUGGUACUGGAACAGCUCAACAUCAUACAGCAGGGCACACUCACAGCAGCACUCCGCUGACAUUUUCCCUACAAAUGCCAAAGUAAACAUGAGAGACUACUGUGGGGGAAAACCAGUGAACUACUGGAAAGGCAACUGUGGUGAAUUUAAGGCAGUUGCCUUAGAUUCACCUAAAUCUCUGCUUCUAUUAAUGUGUGUAUUUUCCUUGGUAGACAUAUCCGUGUAAAUUUUCUUGGAUACAUUUGAUUUAGCCUGCCUCACUUUGCCUCUAUUCUUGGCAUGGACUUAGCUCUUUGCAGGCUCCCAUUCUGCCUUAGUUUUUAAUGUCUUCAACCUCCCUGUCCUGUUCCAACUGAAAUCCAGACCAUGAGAGAGCACCCCAGGGAAAAUGCUGGAUCCUCCAAGCAUGAAAAGGAGGGGAGCAACAGCAUUCUCACAGGACCCUCCUACUGCACCCACAAACUGUAUAAAGGUAAAAUGAGUAGGGGUGGGGGUAGGGUUUGCAUAGUGACCUCUCAUCUUGACUGGCCAGCCUGUAUUUCGCCAGGUCUAGCGUAUAAAGGACUUGCGAGGAUGGAGUUUGUGCAUCUGUGACCGGAUUACAAAAACCCUCAGAAAUUGCUGUAAUUUAAGACACAUUUAAAAGUGUACUCUGGAUGGCAAGGAUGGCACUUGGGGAUUGAGGACAGUAAUCUCUGACAGUGGGCCAGUAAUGAAUACUGAGAUAUCUUGGGCUCUCCCUCAGCUGCCCCACUGCUGUGCCAACCCAAUGGCAUGAACUUUAAGGAUCUUUGCAAAAAGCUCGUGUGCUAAACAGCAUAGCACAGCUGACAUUCAAGGAGCACUUAACAUCAACCUAUUGCUCAGGACCAUACCAGUACCUACACAGUCUUGUGCCAGAAUCUAUUGUAUAAGGAUCAGACCAAGCAUCUUGUUUAGGAAGGACAUAUUUCCUUCUCCACUGGAAGGCACUUAGGAAAGAGAUCACAAAAGAAAAUCUCCAUACCACUGCCUCCACAGCUCAGCUUCCUGGCUUUGACUUCAGCAGCUCUCAUUAAUUGAGCCAGAGUCAGUAUCUUGCUUUGGCUUUUGUACUCCUUGAUGGAUUUUUAUUUUAUUUCAACCAUUACUUUUCAUCAUCACUUUUUAAGGCCAUAGACAAUUUUUAUAUCCACAACAUCCUGGGGCAUUGAGUUCCACAGUUUAACUAUGUGUUGUGUGGAUGCACACUAUGAGUUCUUAAAUCCUUGUUCCUUACAGUUUUUUCCAUCAUCUUACAAACUUCAGUUGCAUCCACUUGUCACACUCUGCACUUUCCUCAGGCUAUAAAAUCAUCCUGUAUUUAGGUGCUUCUCAGAAACAGUCCUGUAUCUUUAAAGCAUACCAAAUCUUGAUUGAGAAACUGAUGAAAAAUUAUAUUAUUUUGGGCUUAAUUGCUCACACACUGCCACCUUUGAUGAUGCACAGAAAUAGCUCGAGAAGUACCAUUAAAAGCAGAAAUCCAAAGAACAGAAUCAACUCCAAUUUCCUCCACAAAGUAAGGGAUUUGGAUCAAGACAAAGUCAUCAGCAUCUGCCCAGGUUCCCCAGGUGGCUUUGGGGAACCCAUCCCUUCCCUUCUCUUCCGGGGAGUCUGCUCUUCCCAUCUGGGAGACUGAGUUGAAGACACUAAGUAUUGGUUAGAGGAAUUCUUAGGUAUAAAAUCAAUGUCUAAAUUUGUCUAACAAGAGUUUGAACUGCAAGCUUUAACAAUAUUAAUACACUUAAUUUUAUCUAGUCCUAGCCAGCUCAUUUACUGGGAGAUUUCUUGGUUUGUGUGAACUGAUUCUGGAGAACUGGAAAGCAAAGACCCACAUAGCACCCAUCACAGCUUAUUACAGGGGGUAAACAGUCAGUGUUAUUAGUAGAUGAGGAAAGGUAGAUCAAUAUAAAGAAAUACUGCUCUCAUUCACUAUUCCCUUUGUCACUGCCAGGCCUCAGAAUUUUUCAGUUCAUUGAUGUCAGUAAGGAUUUACUCGCCUGCCCAAGAAGCUGGUGCCUGAUUAUUCCCAGGCUGCAGCAGAUCCUGAUCAGCAUGUAAGCUGGCCUGGGCAGCUGCGUAAGAAAACAAAAUUUUAAGAUCACAGCAACUUAAAAUACUGCUUGAGUUUAUAACGUCAACAUUGGUAUCAGGGAACAUGGCAACAAAAGUGACCAAAAAGCAUCUCUUUUCGCUGUAGUGCUUAGCAAAUACAUCAGGUUGGUUAGACAGAGGGCAUGUAACGUUUUCAUUAGCUGAAUGAGCACCUAGCUCAAGCCGAAUCUGAAGGCUUUUGGAAACACUUUAUUCACAGGGAGCAGCUCAGGAGUUAAACUAUGUUUAGCAUAUUCCCUUCCCUACAUUAUUUCACGUGCAGAGCCGCUUCCUCUCUGACAGCAUCAGGAGCCUAUCCUUACAUACCCUAAUGGUCUCAUGCCUUCAGCAAGCUGUGGCUUAUACCCACAUACCUCCUCAUUGCUGUUAUCACCAAUGGUUUCCUCACUGGAAAUAAUCAUGCACAUUACAACUGUUGCCAAAACCCUCUGGCAUCAGAAGCACUCUCGGAAGGAAAGCCUGAAGGCAUGCAAGGGCCUGAACAGGGUAGCUGCAGUGAGGCAGGUCAGCAGUACUACAUGGGAACCCAUGCAAGAGAAAAGCUGCACGCUGCCUUCAUGUUUAACACCAGCCAGAGUUAGGGGUCUGAUUCUGCUGGGCUUUCAGAAUGAAACACAAAUGCUGGCCUGUGCAAAUUCCUCUGUUCAUGGUUUCACGUCCAUGUGCUCACACCAACAAUCCAUCAUGAGGUCCCAUCGCUGCAUCUGCGUGCCUUUGUGGAGACUGCAAAGGUUUUGCAUGAGUUCAAAUAUGAAAAGAAAAGUCAUUUUUCACACAUUCUGAUUUCAAAUAUGACUGUAAAUGUUCUAAGCCUCUUUUUAUGUUUAAACAUUUUUAGUGAGUUAAAAGCCAAACAAACUAUAUCUGUUACAUUUCUGCAGUUAGACCAUGUAACUUGAUUGCUUGACAAAGCAUAAGCGGUAUGAGGUCCUUUAUGGGCCACAGCUGAGCUGGAUUUUAUGCCUAAGAAUUUCCCCAUUUUGGACCAGAAGUAAAAAAAAAAAUUCUUCUGGGCAGCACCCAUGAGCCCAAGUCUGGAAAGAAGAAGUGAAAUGAGGGCAGAAAGCCCCCAAAAGAGCCUGGCUGUCCCUUCAGACAGAGCAGAAGGAAAGUAAAAUCACACCUCUGUUCUUUGGGUGUGGGGUCACCCAUCCCACCCCAGGAGCAGGGCGAAGUACCGAGACUCCCAGCAGCAGCCAGGGAGGUGUUGAGAAGCCCAUCCGAGGGGACCUGGGGAUAGUGCUUGUCCCAACUGGGGAUUGGAGCAGAGGGACUUCACAGAAGACAGCCCCCAAAAUGCUCUGCAGCCCCCAGAUGCCAUGGUGCUGUGGAUGGGUGAGGGAAUUGUUGGCUUGCCACCGCCUGCUCGCUGUGUGGUCCUGCCCAGGGAGACAUCUCAGUGGCUGCCAGGAAUGAGGAAAACUGGCAUGUUUUUGUUUUGUUUCCUUUUAAAUAAACUUGCCGUCCUUAAUCUGGCAGGCUGGAGCCCAGGCUCGACAGGCCAAUGAGUAAUGAGGUGCGAGGGAAGACAGGAUGUGGAAUUAGGAGGUCAGGGCUGAAGGUUGCCCCAAAUUUAAUCUCUACUUCUCCUUCUCCAUGUGCCACUGCUGACCACGGUGUAGACGCACACUCACCAGCGAUGCCCUACAGCCCCAUAUACCAGCAAGGCCAAUGCAGGAGGAGUUCAGGAGCCAGGACUCCCCUCCCUGCCCGCCCUCAUAGGCCUGUGCCCGCAGCAAAGCCUUCCCUGCCUUCCAGAUGCAGUGGUUCAGAAGCUCAGGGGAAGUCAAGUUCACCCCGUGGCUCUGGUGACACUCAGUGUUACCUCACUGAGCUCAUCACCAUCUUGGGUACCUACCAGCAAACAUUAAUUUCCUUCCAGUACCCUUGCCAACCUUUCAGCCUAGCUUCAGCUGGACUUCAGCAUGAGAAAACCAGACUUAUUACCACAUGCUAAAGGCAAUAAAUAAUUUUUUUCCUGCUGCAUGCAUUAUUGGCAGAGUUUGUGACCACGGCUGAAUUACAGCCAUGCAUGCGCUCCACAUGCAUUUAUUCAUCAUCUAAAUUAUUUUUGGCAGCAAAUAAGAGAGUGUGCUGAUUAAAAUUUAAGAGUUAUCUCAACGAGCUAAGGAUUCCUUCACCAGCUCACCUUGGCUCAGGUGUCCCUCCAGCCACCAACUGUUUUUAACAUGCAUCAAGGAGCAGAGCGUGGCCAGCAAACGCAGGCAAAUGGGGACUGCUGGUGUCCUGUGCUGUCCCCCAAGGGUGGCCAGAAAGAAGGCAUCAGCAUUGGUGGCACCAGGAGGAAGUACCUCCAGCUGUUCAGUGAGGUUUUGUGCUAGUGCAGGGCGGCGAAGUCAGUACUUCAGCAAUGCUUAUAUCCCUUUGGCUCAGUACCACUUGAACUUAACCACAUGUUUAAGAGCAUUUUAGGACAGAAGUGCUUUCGUGGUCCAUAGCUGUGAGAGCAGCGAGAACAACUCUGCCUUUUCAGGUGGGCAGUUGGAAAGCAGACUGAAGUGCUUGGAAGGCAAACAAGAGCAGCUUUGCAUUUUUAAAGCAGUGCUUUGAAAGAGGGGCAAGUGUAAAAGUUUAAUUAUAGGUUUUCCUUGACAGGGAAACAACUCUAGUCGGUGUGUGCAUGUGUGCUGUCAAACAGCACAAUCCUAGCAAAUCUAGAAAAGAGCAAAACAAGAAAAGAAGAAGACCAGAAGUUCACAGUGGCUCACGCUCAGUUCUGCUCUGACAAAAUAUUUUCCACUGUUUAAUAUAACGCCUCGUGUAUAUUGAUGCCUAUUGAUUUUUCAAUCUGGCGCUUUAAUUAGGCUCUAGUUGUUCAACCUUGCACCUUUGCUGCAUUAGAGAGUGAAAACAGACGGUAUUUCUUCUCUAGGAGCCUUGGACAGCGAAGCAGAGCAAGGUUGGAGGAAAAGCCUGCAGAAUAUUGACGGGGAAUCUAAAUAUCUCAAAGGCAAGAAGUUGCAAAUCUAUGUUUAUCAUUUUUUAACAAGAGAGGCGAAACACUGCAAUACUAAUCUUGAAAUCUAUGUUAAGGUCAGUUGGAAGUGAAAGAAAUUAACACUCCACUGACAACCGAACUGUUGUUUCUUU